CAUAAUGGAACUUUGGCUUAGGAAUACUUUACUUAUCCUGGCUGCAUACUAUUUUGGUACGGUAUAGUGCUUGUCAUUUCUACAUUCUCAUUCUCAGAACCUUAGCAUAUAUGUAUUAUAAAACCAGAAGAUAUACAUUUUUCAGAUUGCAAAGGUGAGCAGGCUGUUGACCAGCAGAGUGGACAUGUUACUGCCCUUGAAGGAGGACUGAUAACACUCAGCUGUAAUUACACUACCAGUAGUACAUCUCCUGAUCUCUUCUGGUACAUCCAGUUAACUAGGAACUCUCCUCAGUAUGUCCUGAGAAGAGAUCGUUAUUUAGAAGGGAGCAAUAGUGAUGAGUUCAAGAAGAGGUUUGAUUCCAGACUGAAUUUCACAUCUAGCUCUGUCCCCUUGACGAUCCAGAGGUUGCAGCUGUCUGACUCUGCUUUGUACUACUGUGCUCUGAGGCCCACUGUGACAACAUGAGAUUCAGUCACUGUACAAACACUCAGGGUACAGUGUUGUUCAGACAAAGUCACAAGGUUCUCAAUGUUUGACGACACACAGAAAGAGGAGGAGACAAGGAUUUCAUCAUCUCAUCAUUGCCUAGUUACAUCAGAGUGGUAUUACUCUUCUUCCACUAAUCUCACAGUAGCAGACAUGGAACCCUGGCUGGGGAAUGUACUGAUUCGUGCUGCAUUUUGUUAUGAAUGCAGAGAAGAAGACUCAGUCAUUCAGCCACCAGGAGAUGUGAUCGCUACUGAGGGAGAACAGGUCACAAUGGAUUGUCAAUUUGAUACUCUUGAUACAAACCGUACCUGUUCUGGUACAAGCAGGGAGCUAAUGACUUCCCAAAGUAUAUGCUGAGGCAGGUGACUUUUGGAUCAGUUAAUGCCAUUGAAUUCCUGGGGAGAUUCGAUGCCCAUCUCAAUUUAAUUACAUUUAAAUCAGUAUUAAAAUCAGUCCCCUUGAUGAUCCAGAGGUUCCCGCUGUCUGACUCUGCUGUUGUAACGCUCUGGGUGUCGUGGGUGUGGAGUCAGACGCAGGAAACAGAGAGUUCAAUACUGUGCUAUUUAAUGCACUCACGAAA
rnacentral:lncRNA from 1 species